rnacentral:rRNA from 1 species
UACGUAGGGUGCGAGCGUUGUCCGGAAUUAUUGGGCGUAAAGGGCUCGUAGGCGGUCUGUCGCGUCGGGAGUGAAAACUCAGGGCUUAACCCUGAGCCUGCUUCCGAUACGGGCAGACUAGAGGUAGGCAGGGGAGAAGGCGAAUUCCUGGUGUAGGCGGUGGAAUGCGCAGAUAUCAGGAGGAACACCGGUGGCGAAGGCG